rnacentral:lncRNA from 1 species
GUCUCGGGGAGAGAAAGAAGGGGCCCUGGUGGUGCCCCCUGGUUGCUGUUGCUGGCCUGCCAGUCACCUCUGGCCCUGCCAGCCUCCUUCCCUUCCUCCAGCCCUCAUUAUACGGGGUACCCAAAGUUGAGAGGACGCUGCCCUGCUUGAGGGGCAUCCGAUCUAGAAGUGCAGCGAGAAGCAGCCCAAAGGCCUGGGCUGUGCUGGCAUCGCAGAAUCUGGGCACCACUGCCCCCUGGUGGUGAUCUAAGACUUCUCCGUGUCUGGGCACCCCCACAUCAGGUCGCAGAGCAAAUCCCUGAA